rnacentral:tRNA from 1 species
GGAAUAUCAAGAUAAAAAAUAAAAGCUGCUAACUUUUAUUAUAGCGGUUAAAUUCCGUUUAUAUUUCU